rnacentral:tRNA from 1 species
GCCCCGGUAGCUUAGUCAGUUAUAGCGCCACCUUGGUAAGGUGGAGGUCGAGAGUGCAAUUCUCUCCCGAGGCU